rnacentral:rRNA from 1 species
ACGGGGCGCACCAGGCGCGAAACCUUUACACUGCACGCCAGUGCGAUAAGGGGACCCCGAGUGCGAGGCCAUACUAGUCCUCGCUUUUCUGUACCGUAAGGAGGUACAGGANCAAGGGCUGGGCAAGACCGGUGCCAGCCGCCGCGGUAAUACCGGCAGCUCGAGUGAUGGCCGAUGUUAUUGGGCCUAAAGCGUCCGUAGCCGGCCGGGCAAGUCCGUCGGGAAAUCCACCGGCUCAACCGGUGGGCGUCCGGCGGAAACUGUUUGGCUUGGGACCGGAAGACUCGAGGGGUACGUCCGGGGUAGGAGUGAAAUCCCGUAAUCCUGGACGGACCACCGAUGGCGAAAGCACCUCGGGAGGACGGAUCCGACGGUGAGGGACGAAAGCUGGGGUCUCGAACCGGAUUAGAUACCCGGGUAGUCCCAGCCGUAAACGAUGCCAGUUAGGUGUGGCACAGGCUACGAGCCUGUGCUGUGCCGUAGGGAAGCCGUGAA